AUGAGAUUCAAGGGCAGCUUGCUUUCCAGGGCCUGUUGCAGUGUGAAGCUGAAGUGCAAAGAGGCGUCUACAUGGCAUUCUCUUGAAGCUGGAAGCCUGCCAGAGAGACACACAUCCCUGCCACCCAUGUGGGACCCCUUCCGAGUUAGGUGGUGAGGUAGUGCUACUACUCACAAUCACUGAUAGAUAGAGCUGUGGUGGCUGUGUAGUGAGGGUUAAUGUGUUAAGGUACUGACAUGUGACUGUGUUUUGUCACUGUAAGUGUUAGGUUAAGCAUGGUUUUUAUGUGAAAAUGGAUAGUAGAACUCAAUAUCCC
rnacentral:lncRNA from 1 species